AGCCUUUGAGAGGAAGGUUGUGCAUCGGACAGGAUUUGAAGAACUCCGUAACUGGACGAAGUGAGUCCAGGUCCUCCGCAGUCUUCUGACCCCGGAGAUGCGGGCACUGAAGCCCGGGCAGGGCAAAUGUACCUGCAGAGAAGGCCUCAACAGGAAGUACCUGGACAGGCAGAAAGAGCAACCUGACCAUUGGGGAAUUACAAAUCAAAACUACAAUGAGAUACCACUUCAUAUACACUGGGACAGCUAUAAUCAAAAAGAAACCACAACCAUAAUCCAUUAGCGAUGGGAAUGUUAAAUGGAGCAACUGCUAUGAAAAAUAUCUGGCAUUCACAAAACGUUAAGCAUAGAGAUACCAUACAUACCCUCAUGAAUGGAAUCUGUGCCUUGAACAAGAAGCCUGGGGGAGCUUGCACUAGCAAGGUGCCCUCUAUAAAGCCAAGGGUGAGUUCUCCGCAGACACUGCAUUUGCUAGCGCUUGAUCUUGGAAUUCCCAGCCUCCAGACCACAAUCAAUAAAUUCCUAUUGUUUAUA